rnacentral:rRNA from 1 species
AUUGAACGCUGGCGGCAGGCCUAACACAUGCAAGUCGAGCGAGCGGCGGACGGGUGAGUGAUGCCUGGGAAUUGCCCAGUCGAGGGGGAUAACAGUUGGAAAAGACUGCUAAUAACGCAUACGAUCGGAUUGCCCAUGUGGGAUUAGCUAGUUGGUGAGGUAAUGUCACACCAAGGCGACUAUCCCUAGCUGGUCUGAGAGGAUGAUCAGCCACCCUGGAACUGAGAAACGGUCCAGACUCCUACGUGAGGCAGCAGUGGGGAAUAUUUCACAAUGGGCGAAACCCUGAUGCAGCCAUGCCGCGUGUGUGAAGAAGGCCUUCGGGUUGUAAAGCACGUUCAGCGAGGAGGCGUUACUCGCAGAAGAAGCCCCGGCUAACUCCGUGCCAGCAGCCGCGGUAAUUC